AGUGAACGCUGGCGGCAGGCCUAAUACAUGCAAGUCGAACGGCAGCACAGCAGAGCUUGCUCUGUGGGUGGCGAGUGGCGGACGGGUGAGGAAUACGUGGGAAUCUGCCCAGUCGUGGGGAUAACGUAGGGAAACUUACGCUAAUACCGCAUGCGCCCUUCGGGGGAAAGCCGGGGACCUUCGGGCCUGGCGCGAUUGGAUGAGCCCACGUCGGAUUAGCUAGUUGGCGGGGUAAAGGCCCACCAAGGCGACGAUCCGUAGCUGGUCUGAGAGGAUGAUCAGCCACACUGGAACUGAGACACGGUCCAGACUCCUACGGGAGGCAGCAGUAGGGAAUAUUGGACAAUGGGCGCAAGCCUGAUCCAGCCAUGCCGCGUGAGUGAAGAAGGCCCUCGGGUGUAAAGCUCUUUGUCCGG
rnacentral:rRNA from 1 species